rnacentral:rRNA from 1 species
UACAGAGGUCUCAAGCGUUGUUCGGAUUCAUUGGGCGUAAAGGGUGCGUAGGUGGCGUGGUAAGUCGGGUGUGAAAUUUCGGAGCUUAACUCCGAAACUGCAUUCGAUACUGCUGUGCUUGAGGACUGGAGAGGAGACUGGAAUUUACGGUGUAGCAGUGAAAUGCGUAGAGAUCGUAAGGAAGACCAGUGGCGAAGGCGGGUCUCUGGACAGUUCCUGACACUGAGGCACGAAGGCCAGGGGGAGCAAAACGGGG